rnacentral:misc_RNA from 1 species
GAAAUGCGAUAAGUAAUUUGAAUUGCAGAAUUCCGUGAAUCAUCGAAUCUUUGAACGCACAUUGCGCCCUCUGGCAUUCCGGGGGGCAUGCCUGUCCGAGCGUCAUUACGCACCCUCAAGCCCGGCUUGUGUGAUGGGCCCCGGCGUCUCGUUCGCGAGACGGGCCCGAAAGGCAGCGGCGGCGUCGACCCGAUGAGCCCGAGCGUAUGGGGACUUCUGUCACACGUUCGCGGUGCGGACCGGCGCCUGCUUUGACUUUUCUGAUUAUCCAGGUUGACCUCGGAUCAGGUAGGGAUACCCGCUGAACUUAAGC